rnacentral:ncRNA from 1 species
ACAGUACAAACUGAACAGACCGUGACGGUAUGUCAUGGAGUCGGGUCACAGGAGUGACAGUGGUAUCGUUCAUCCACGGGACAGU